GAAUGAUAUUUAUCCAUCAUCUCCAGUUUCCACCGCGAAAUCAUUUCAUUUCACUUCCAAAACGAUGGUUUCUACCUAUCUUCACUGUAUUUUUUCUUCAAAAAAAUUCCAAAGAAAAUCAAAAUUUCGCAGCUCCGAUUCUUCCUCCAAAUAAAUUCAUCUUAGUAUCCCAUUUGGAUAACUUGUCAACUGCUUUGAAUUCUCGGAGACGUUCGGCAGUGAAGCCAAUGAAUGUUGCGCGUAAGAGAAAUGAUUCAAUAGUUCCAUCAAUCGCUACCAUCGUGGCUCCUGAUAAAUGAAAUUUUCAAUAUUUGUGUUUGCAUGUGCUUUGUUUUCAUGGUGUUGAAGGAUGGGUAAACUGAUGUUUAGGUUUUCAGUUACCGGGAUCAUAUGAGUAGUCAAAAAAAUCCUUGUGUCCACAUAUAAAAAGUUCUGGAGAAGAGUUACUCUUACUGAGGAGUAUGUGGACAGUAUCCGUGAGUCAUUGCCUAACUUUCAGAAGAUAAGCGUCGGAGGUAUGAGAAAAUGGGCCUAAGCAUGCAAGAUGUCCUGUUUCUUGCCAAUGACAACAAUCAUACCAUUAGACAAGUGAUGGUGAUAGCCCCGGCAACAACACUAAGUUCAUGGUACAGAAACUUGCCAACAGAACUUUCCACCUAGCGAGUACAAUUAGACUAUGCAGGUCAACCAUGCCCAAGAAAGAAGUUUCCUGAAGCCAAUGACCAACAAGUAGCCAAAUAAAGACAAAGUUUGAUAUAAUAGUACAAGUGGAGGUUGAUGAAAUUCAGGAGCAGUACCACUCCAGAUCAUGCCAUACAGCAACAAAUGUGAAGAUAACCCACAUAUUUUUCUGCUUCGUCUAAGUACCCCCAAGAGGAAUAUACAAAUAUCUAAAUAUAGACACAUCACACAAGAUUUUGGGGUCAGGAGACUGAUGAUGGAACACUUGAUUUGAUCCAUUCUGCAGAUGUUUUGGAGGAAAAUUUCCCCCUGUAUCGUAGUAUGGAGAAGUUACAUGUUAAUAAUGGUUUUAUGAAUAUGGAUUUGUAGCAAAGAGAAGAAUUUAUGACAUCACAAAUGUCCUCGAGGAAUUGGAUUAAUUGAGAAAGGUACAAAGAGUCAUAUAUGUUGGAAGUAAGACACUUGUGCAUUUGGUUCAGUUUUUGUGAUCUUACUUGGUAAUGGCCCAAAUUUAUCUUAAUAGAAGGUUCCAUUCAACCAAAUAUUGAGGGCUGGAUAAUCAAGUAUCUAGACUGAAGGUGAUUAUAAAUUGGUUCUAAGAAUGUAGGAAGGAGGGAGGGUGUUUUGUAUAUUCAUCCAUUCUGAUUCUUUUACUGAACCUUACUUUCCUAUGAAAUGACAGGGGAAAAUUACAUAUUUAAAGGCAGCGGAUUUCCAACUUGAGGGAAAUGUUUUGAGUUUUCUUACUUUAUGAAUGUGAAACAUUUAUCAAUACAAGGAAAAACAUUUUCUCUUGAUAAUUUUACGUGACCUCCUUCCGCGACGACCUGAUUUGCGUCUCAUUCUGAUGAGUCCUACUAUUAACGCUGGGUUGUUAUCCAAAACUUCAUAGAUGUACCCACGAUUCAUAUACCGGGUUUAACAUAUCCAGUGGCAAAACUGUUUCUUGAAAACGGGUUGGAGAAGAAAAUUGGAGAUCUUGGGCUUGCAGCUAUUUUGCGAAAAUCACACACUGUUCAUUAUGUUGUUGAUCAUUCUUCAUUGAGUGGGAUGCCUCUGUUUCCUAAGAGCACGUACCAACCCAGCAUCAUGAGGCGCAAAAGGACACAUGGUUUCAUUGCUCAGUGGUUGUUUUUGGCUUUGACAUUUGGUUUUCAUCAUAGGCGGUUUCACUUUGUUAACAACUCUCUGUGUCAAUGGUAUCAAUAUUCCACAACAAUCCAGCUACUUUGUCAAUAGGUGUUUCAUCGUGAAUGCUCGAGAGAUUGAUCACAGCAACAACUGCAUCCCCUAUUAUAGAAUUUAUAAAUAUUAUCCCUAGCAAUGUAAAUAGACAACAAUGACUAUCAUAUGUAAAUAUGAGCAUUCAUUAAUAUGUUAUUCCCAUGAUUGUAUAAAAUAUACAUUUGGAAUCAUUUCAUCAACUGAUCCAAUCAAACGGAACAGUCCCUUGCUGUUAUAUUUUCA